UCCGCGCACCCCUAUCGCUCGGGGGAGGCGCGGCUCUCCGCAGGGCGGCCCAGAUUGGCCAGAGCCAGAAGCCCGCCCACAGGAAGGAGCCCCGCACAGGGCGAGCGAGUCAGCGGGUGCCGCACCCCUUCCCGGACCUGCAGGUCCUCUUAGCCCGGGCGCGCAGCGUAGCGGGUUGGACCAGGUUCAUUGUGGACGACCCGCCCCUCAGGCACAGCCCGGUUCGGCGUGGCCCCCCAGCAGCGUCGGGCUUCCCUGGUGGCGCAGUGGUUGAGAGUCCGCCCGCUGAUGGACAUGGGUUCGUGCCCCGGUCCGGGAAGAUCCCACAUGCCGUGGAGCGGCUGGGCCCGUGAGCCAUGGUCGCUGGGCCUGCGCGUCCGGAGCCUGUCCUCCGCAACGGGAGAGGCCACAACAGUGAGAGACCCGUGUACUGCAAAAAAAUAAAA